rnacentral:lncRNA from 1 species
GAUGAUGGAUCUUAUUAUACAAAGAUUAAGAAUUAUAAUAGAAAAAGAUCAAUGUAAUUUUUCAUGGUGAAAUUGAAUCAUGAAUAAAAUAAAGACCAAUUGAGAGAUGCUCUUUUGAGGAUUAAUAAAGAAUUUUUGGAUUUCUAAAGAGUAUUAUUAUAGUAUGGAGAUAUAAGGAUUUAAGUGAGUUUUUUUAUUUAUAUAUCUUUUAAUAUAAAUAGCUUUGAAUGUGGAUUUAUGGAUUUGACAACUUUUGAGAUUUUAAGAUUUAAAAAGGUUGGAAAUUUGAAUCAUAUAUAUAAGAAUUGGAUGAAGAAAUAUAUAAAAAAAAUUAAAAAAUUUG